rnacentral:tRNA from 1 species
GGUCUGGUAGUUCAGCUGGUUAGAAUGCCUGCCUGCCACGCAGGAGGUCGCGGGUUCGAGUCCCGUCCAGACCG